UUAAUCUUCGUCUGGUUGGAAGAGGGAAAAAGAGAAACACAAGUGGAAACAGAUGACGAGAUGGAUUAGGAAAACUCCACUAGCUCUUACCUUGAUCGGAGAAGAAGGACGAAGGCGUCAGUAAGAGCUGUCGUCAGCUGUGAUGGAAGCAAGGGGCUGCUCCGGCAGUGGAUCGCGAAGGGGAGGAGGGAAAGCCGUUGGUCCCGGGGUGGUCCUGUGAUAUUCAAUCGAUGAAGAAAGGAAAUCAGCAACAGUAGGGUCGGAUGGAGGCUCGCCACAACCGGUUAGCUUACCGGUCCUUCUUCUUCCCCACUUCGCCGGUGCCAAAGAAAAGGGAGGGAGUGAGAUCGGUACAGUAGUCAAAAGGGGGUGCUUGGGUGGUUUCUUUGAGUUCAUAGGGGUGUUUGGAUUGCUGUUUAAAUCGACAGGAAUAAUGGAGGAAAGAGAGAGGCUGCUGCCUCUUUGAUUUCACCGGAAAAAUAACACCUGCCGGUGUGUUUUAUUUACCGUUAAACGGAGAAGAAGAAGACGAGGAGGGGAUCGAGGUCUCGAUAGUUGCUGACCGAGAAAAGGUCUGUCGAGUAAGGAGACAUGCUGCUCUACAUACAUACAGUGUUUACCAUCCGAAGUGAGCAAUGAAUGGACCGAUUUAUAUGACAGUGUUCAAGAAUCAGCCUUAUGUCAACUGGUGUAUGCCGAUAUUGUGCUUUAUUAAAAGAACAUUGGUUAUAUUGUGCAGAUCUAUGUAUAAAUGUGAUUGCAACUAAGAGGAACUUAUGUUAUUCAAAGAUUAUAUGGGCUAGAA